rnacentral:lncRNA from 1 species
AACAUCAUACUAAAACAACUCUUACAAAACAUCAAGUCUUAAACAGCAUACCAAAUGUCUUACAAAACGUGGUCUUAACAUCAUGGCUGCUUGAAGUGCUGAAGCAAUUCUUUGCGUGAGAAGAGCUUGCCUAGCCUGGGAGAGAAUCAAUGCCAUAAGUUGAAUUAUUCUAAGCAACAAAACACACAUAGCAACUGCAACAAACCAAAACCAUACUGAUGUAUUGGGAAUCUGUGAUUACGUAAUUCUCCAAAGUCAUCAAGCAAAGGCAUAAUUUGAGAAUUGUACCAAAAUCCAAAUGAACAAAUUACCUCAAAAAGAUUUGAUCAUCUUGCAACUGGUUUUUGCAGCAGUUGCCCUCUUCUGUUUUUGGAAUUCAUUGAUUCGAAUAAUUAAACGUCAACUCUUUGCAGUCUCAAAAGCAUCUUCACCAGAUCACCUAAUCCAGUACACAAGCAAAAUCAGAAUCGAACUGAACACAUAAGCAGACCGAGAGAGCUUAUGGAAACAAAAGUAAUAAGCAUCCACGCUUCUGAAAACAAACAAACAUAAUGCAACUCUUUGAAAAAAUCAAAACUUACUUCAUUUAUACAAGUGAACAAAUCAGAAAACUAGAUAUUUACUUCAAGCAUGUGCUUAC